rnacentral:tRNA from 1 species
GGCCGGGUGGCGAAGUGGUAACGCAGCGGUCUGCAAAACCGCCAUUCAGGGGUUCAAAUCCCCUCCCGGCCUCCA